ACUCAAAUGAAUUGACGGGGGCCCGCACAAGCAGCGGAGCAUGUGGUUUAAUUCGACGCGACGCGAAGAACCUUACCUGGGCUUGACAUGUGAGUGACAGGUGCGGAAACGCACCCUCCCUUCGGGGCACUUUCACAGGUGGUGCAUGGCUGUCGUCAGCUCGUGUCGUGAGAUGUUGGGUUAAGUCCCGCAACGAGCGCAACCCCCGUCGCAUGUUGCCAGCAUUCAGUUGGGGACUCAUGCGAGACUGCCGGUGACAAACCGGAGGAAGGUGGGGAUGACGUCAAGUCCUCAUGCCCCUUAUGCUCAGGGCGACACACGUGCUACAUUGGCGCGUACAGAGGGCUGCGAUACCGCGAGGUGGAGCGAAUCCCUCAAAGCGCGUCUCGGUUCGGAUUGCAGGCUGAAAUUCGCCUGCAUGAAGGCGGAGUUGCUAGUAAUCGCGGAUCAGCACUGCCGCGGUGAAUACGUUCCCGGGCCUUGCACACACCGCCCGU
rnacentral:rRNA from 1 species